GGAUGUAUACAUUGCUACUGACAAAUAUCCUCGGAACUGCACUAAUAGCCCCAAGCCUGGCUCAGCUUUUUGUAAUGAUUGUGGAGAACAAAUAAUUAAAUUAGGUAUUCCAGUGGAUUUGCGUGGUUUCUUGAAGUAUCCAGGGUGUAAUGUUGAUGCUUACACUAUCUCUGAUAGAAAGAAGAAAAACGAUUUUCUAGAAAAAAUCUCAGAAAAAAUCAAGGUUACAUCUGAAACUGUAGGGGAAGCCACUGGCACUGAUCGAAUUUUAAGAUCUACUGCAAUGAAAGACUCAUAUAGUUUUGAAAAAAAUCUGGAUACAAACAAAGAUUGCAAUAAGGACACCACAGGAUUGGUAACCAUGAAUGUCCAUUCCAGGGGGCACUUAUUUUUUGUUACUUCUGGCGGAAUAAUUAGAAAUUGGUCACCUUUAUACAAAUCUGAAAGUAAAUCGCAAGUAGCAAUUCCAACAAUUAAAUACUGUGAGCUUUAUCUAAAGGAAUACAGAAAUAUAGAUGAUAAAUUUUUAUUUUACGAUAAUAUGUGUAAUCUUGAACGUUUAAAGCUUUGGGACUGUGAUCAAUCCCAGUUAACAUCUGAGGCUAAACUAGGAAUUUAGAAAAUUAUUUAUAAUUAAAGGGACUGUAGAGUGUAGACUCUCUUAAUACAUAUUGAAUUCUUAGAACAAUGUUUUAUGUCUCAGCUGCAUACCUACAAAUUAUAUAUAUCUUCUAAAGGCAUUUCUGUGUUUAAUAAUAUUACAAAAGGAGUAGAUGCCCUGCAUAUCAAGUUAACUUAAUAGAAUAGUCUAAUCAAUUACUGCGUAUGAGCUUUAUCUAAAAUAUUGAUUUUACAACUUUAUUUUAUGAAAACAUUGUUAGACAAUUAAGUGGUUGGUAGACCAUUCUAUUAAGUCUAAAUUUUAGAACCAUGUCAGAGAAUCUUGUAGGCAAAAUUAUCCAAAAGUUGUUCAACAAUUACGGGAAACUUUUGAUCAUCCCAAUACCGAGUCAGCUGAACAAACUUUUAUCUGGUUGGGUAAAUUCAAAAAGAUUUUGAACUCUAUGAACAAGCGACAUCAUCAUUUCUUUUUGCAUUGUCUUGUGAAGGCAAGAAAUCGUUAUACCAUGUGGUGUUUUGAAAAUGGAUUAAAGCCCAAAUUACCACAGGCCAAAGUUGACAAAGUUUUAGUCGCCCCAUGUGAUUAAAAUGUUUAUUUUACAAAAGAUUUUUAUUUUAAAUUUUUUU